AAAGCUUUAAGUUAAAUAAACUAUUAACCUUCAAAGUUAAAAAUAUAAUGUAGAUAAGCUUUA
rnacentral:tRNA from 1 species